CCCAGACUCCUACGGGAGGCAGCAGCGGGGAAUAUUGCACAAUGGGGGGAACCCUGAUGCAGCGACGCCGCGUGGGCGAGGAAGUAUUUCGGUAUGUAAAGCCCUCUCGGCAGGGAAGAAGAAAUGACGGUACCUGAAUAAGAAGCACCGGCUAAAUACGUGCCAGCAGUCGCGGUAAUACGUAUGGUGCAAGCGUUAUCCGGAUUUACUAGGCGUAAAGGGAGCGCAGGCGGCGCGCCAAGUCUGAUGUGAAACCCCGGGGCUCAACCCCGGGCAUGCAUUGGAAACUGGCGGGCUGGAGUGCCGGAGAGGUAAGCGGAAUUCCUAGUGUAGCGGUGAAAUGCGUAGAUAUUAGGAGGAACUCCAGUGGCGAAGGCGGCUUACUGGACGGCAACUGACGCUGAGGCUCGAAAGCGUGGGGAGCAAACAGGAUUAGAUACCCCGGUA
rnacentral:rRNA from 1 species